rnacentral:rRNA from 1 species
UACGGAGGAUCCAAGCGUUAUCCGGAUUUAUUGGGUUUAAAGGGUGCGUAGGUGGCCUGGUAAGUCAGGGGUGAAAGACGGUAGCUUAACUAUCGCAGUGCCUUUGAUACUGCCGGGCUUGAAUGAACUAGAGGUAGGCGGAAUGUGACAAGUAGCGGUGAGAUGCAUAGAUAUGUCACAGAACACCGAUUGCGAAGGCAGCUUACUAUGGUUUUAUUGACACUGAGGCACGAAAGCGUGGGGAUCAAACAGG